rnacentral:rRNA from 1 species
CUGCAGAAGAAGCACCGGCUGAACUACGUGCCAGCCGUCGCGGUUAUUACCUAGGGUGCGAGCGUUCUCCCGGAAUUAUUGGGCGUAAAGAGCUUGUGGGCGGCCUGUCGCGUCGGAUGUGAAAGCCCGGGGCUCAACCCCGGGUGUGCAUUCGAUACGGGCAGGCUGGAGUGUUGUAGGGGAGAUCGGAAUUCCCGGUGUAGCGGUGAAAUGCGCAGAUAUCAGGAGGAACACCGGUGGCGAAGGCGGAUCUCUGGGCCAUUACUGACGCUGAGGAGAGAAAGCGUGUGGAGCGAACAGGAUUAGAUACCCUGGUAGUCCACCCCGUAAACGUUGGGAACUAGGGGUUGGCGACUUUCCACGUUGUCGGUGCCGCAGGUAACGCAUUAAGUUCCCCGCCUGGGGAGUACGGCCGCAAGGCUAAAACUCAAAGGAAUUGACGGGGGCCCGCACAAGCAGCGGAGCCUGUUGCCUAAUUUGGCGCUCUACCGAAAAGGUUGCGAUUUUUUACAAACGCAGG